UACAGAGGGGGCAAGCGUUGUUCGGAAUUACUGGGCGUAAAGGGCCAGUAGGCGGCCAACUAAGUCCGACGUGAAAUCCCAAGGCUUAACCUUGGAACUGCGUCGGAUACUGGACGGCUUGAAUUCGGGAGAGGGAUGCAGAAUUCCAGGUGUAGCGGUGAAAUGCGUAGAUAUCUGGAGGAACACCGGUGGCGAAGGCGGAUCUCUGGGCCUGUCCUGACGCUCAGGCGCGAAAGCUAGGGGAGCAAACGGG
rnacentral:rRNA from 1 species